rnacentral:rRNA from 1 species
UACGAGCCACCCGAACGUUAUUCGGAAUUACUGGGCUUAAAGGGUGCGUAGGCGGUGCAGCAAGUCGGGAGUGAAAUACCUCAGCUUAACUGAGGAACUGCUUUCGAUACUGCUGUGCUUGAGUGAGACAGAGGUAAGCGGAACUUAGGGUGGAGCGGUGAAAUGCGUAGAUAUCUGGAGGAACACCGGUGGCGAAGGCGGCGUUCUGGACUGCAACUGACACUGAUGAACGAAAGCCAGGGGAGCAAACGGG